rnacentral:lncRNA from 1 species
GUUAAGUUAGGUAGUAUCCUAAGAGAAAACAAAACAAAAACAUGUUUCUACUAAAAGACUUAGACACAAAUGUUCCUAGCAAUUUUAUUCAUACUAGCUAAAAAAGUAAAAUCAUCCUAAAUCAAUGCACACAGUCUGGUGACCAGUUAUACAAAUUAUGAUAUAUUCAGAUGAUAGAAUACUAUGGAUGGAUGCAUCUUCAAAAUAUUAUGCUAAGUAAAAGAAGUAAGGAACAAUACAUACUGUGUAUUUACUUGUAUUUUAUUUUGCUGUAGCACAAGCAAAAC